UAAACCAAUUGGCAAAUUUGUACCAUUUCUCUUCACAAUAAUAUAGAUUAGGACAAGUAGAAUCGAAUGACAUAUCUUAAAAAUGCAUCAUGCAUCGAAAAAAUGUUCAAAAAAGCAAAAUAAAAUAUGUACCUUUUUGAAAUUGGCGCCGCAGCGAGUGUUAAAAGAGGUGUUAACGUUCUCGCAACAUGGCCGCCGAACGACUGCGCGCUCCCCGUGGUUACACGGUAGCACAUUCACGUCAACAACAGCGUUUUAACAGUUCUAAGAGUUUUCUUCUAGUUCAAAAAGACAUUCUGUGCACCGAUAUUCUCAUUAAAAAUAUAAAAACACGUAAAUUGGGUCGCAUCAGACACCUAAAAGCCAAAUAAUCGGUACCACAUGUUUCACUAUAAGUCGUUUCGUGAGUAUGAAAAAGUGGAAAAAGUAAACAACGUCAAUACCGUAAAGAUUUUUCGACGCAGAAAGAAUUUGGACAUCAAGAAACUCAACAAACAACGUGUGAAGAACAUUUUGAGGUCAAGCGGUGCCUUUCUAGCUGAAAUAAAUGUCAGACUCGAAUCUGGAGCGUGUUUUCUUGCUGGCAGAAUCAGCAAUGCGUGGACAGCCUGGUGUGAAGCUGCACGUGUCCAAGAGCAGCCCAGAAAUGGUAAAUGACGCUGGACGAGCUCUUUGUUCGACCAGCGACAAGUGUUCUGCCAGAAGAGAAUUGAGUCCAUGGGCGGUUGUUGCACCAGGAUUUGCAUGGAAUGGUGCGUGCCUGUCAGGCCAUUUUUGAUCUGGCUGACUGUUGUUCGACUAGCCACAAGAGUUGCGUCUGGACCAAAUUUAGUCAAUGAGCAGUUGAGGCAACAGGAUUGGCAUAGACUGAUGCCUGCCUGUCAGGUGAGUCAGGGUUGACAGUGGUUGUAACCAUUUAUUUGAUUUAUUUUCAAUUUUAGGCCAUUUUUGAUGCAGCUG